GACGAACGCUGGCGGCGUGCCUAAUACAUGCAAGUAGGACGCACAGUUUAUACCGUAGCUUGCUACACCAUAGACUGUGAGUUGCGAACGGGUGAGUAACGCGUAGGUAACCUGCCUAUUAGAGGGGGAUAACUAUUGGAAACGAUAGCUAAUACCGCAUAACAGUAUGUAACACAUGUUAGAUGCUUGAAAGAUGCAAUUGCAUCGCUAGUAGAUGGACCUGCGUUGUAUUAGCUAGUAGGUAGGGUAAAGGCCUACCUAGGCAACGAUACAUAGCCGACCUGAGAGGGUGAUCGGCCACACUGGGACUGAGACACGACCCAGACUCCUACGGGAGGGCAGCAGUAGGGAAUCUUCGGGCAAUGGGGGGGAAACCCCUGACCGAAGCAAACGCCGCGUGAGUGAAGAAAGGUUUUCGGAUUCGUAAAAGCUCUGUU
rnacentral:rRNA from 1 species